rnacentral:rRNA from 1 species
ACAAGGUUUCCGUAGGUGAACCUGCGGAAGGAUCAUUACCGAGUUGAUUCGAGCUCCGGCUCGACUCUCCCACCCCAUGUGUACCUACCUCUGUUGCUUUGGCGGGCCGCGGUCCUCCGCACCGACCCCCGUUCGGGGGGCCGGCCAGCGCCCGCCAGAGGACCACAAAACUCCAGUCAGUAAACGUCGCAGUCUGAGAAACAAGUUAAUAAACUAAAACUUUCAACAACGGAUCUCUUGGUUCUGGCAUCGAUGAAGAACGCAGCGAAAUGCGAUAAGUAAUGUGAAUUGCAGAAUUCAGUGAAUCAUCGAAUCUUUGAACGCACAUUGCGCCCCUUGGUAUUCCGAGGGGCAUGCCUGUUCGAGCGUCAUUUCAACCCUCAAGCUCUGCUUGGUAUUGGGCUCCGUCCUCUGUGGACGCGCCUCGAAGACCUCGGCGGUGGCGUCUUGCCUCAAGCGUAGUAGAAAACACCUCGCUUUGGAGCGCACGGCGUCGCCCGCCGGACGAACCUUUGAAUUUUUCUCAAGGUUGACCUCGGAUCAGGUAGGGAUACCCGCUGAACUUAAGCAUA